GCCGGGUGUGGUGGCUCACACCUGUAAUCCCAGCACUUUGGGAGGCCGAGGCAGGUGGAUCACCUGAGGUCAGGAGUUUGAGACCAGCCUGGCCAACAUGGUGAAACCCCGUCUCUA
rfam:Homo sapiens chromosome 16, GRCh38 reference primary assembly.